CCUACGGGGUGCAGCAGUGGGGAAUAUUGGACAAUGGGCGAAAGCCUGAUCCAGCCAUGCCGCGUGUGUGAAGAAGGCCUUCGGGUUGUAAAGCACUUUCAGUGGGGAAGAAAGUCUUGGGGCUAAUACCCUCGAGGAAGGACAUCACCCACAGAAGAAGCACCGGCUAACUCCGUGCCAGCAGCCGCGGUAAUACGGAGGGUGCGAGCGUUAAUCGGAAUUACUGGGCGUAAAGCGCGCGUAGGCGGUCUGAUAAGCCGGUUGUGAAAGCCCCGGGCUCAACCUGGGAACGGCAUCCGGAACUGUCAGGCUAGAGUGCAGGAGAGGAAGGUAGAAUUCCCGGUGUAGCGGUGAAAUGCGUAGAGAUCGGGAGGAAUACCAGUGGCGAAGGCGGCCUUCUGGACUGACACUGACGCUGAGGUGCGAAAGCGUGGGUAGCAAACAGGAUUAGAUACCCCGGUAGUC
rnacentral:rRNA from 1 species